CAAAUCAGGUAGGACUACCCGCUGAACUUAAGCAUAUCAAUAAGCGGAGGAAAAGAAACUAACAAGGAUUCCCCUAGUAACUGCGAGUGAAGCGGGAAGAGCUC
rnacentral:rRNA from 1 species